CCUGAACGCCGGCGGCGUGGUUAAGACAUGCAAGUCGAACGACAUAGUGGCGAACGGGUGAGUAAUGUAUCGCUAAUCUGCCCUGAGCUCGAGGAUAGCGGCGGGAAACUGCCGGUAAUACUCGAUAUUCCCCAGAGAUCGCAUGAUCUCUGGUGCAAAACUCCGGUGGCUCGGGAUGAGGCGAUAUGGUAUCAGCUUGUUGGUAGGGUAACGGCCUACCAAGGCUUCGACGCCUAACCGGACUGAGAGGUCGGCCGGUCACAUCGGGACUGAGACACUGCCCGGACUCCUACGGGAGGCUGCAGUAACGAAUCUUCCGCAAUGUACGAAAGUAUGACGGAGCGACGCCGCGUGCAGGACGAAGCCCUUCGGGGUGUAAACUGCUAAAACUAUCAGAUAAGUUCUGAAUCGGUAGUGAUAAGGAGCGACUAACUCUGUGCCAGCAGUCGCGGUAAUACAGAGGCUCCAAGCGUUAGGCGGAAUCACUGGGCUUAAAGCGUGCGUAGGCGGCUCAUCAAGUGUCUUGUGAAAGCCCUCGGCUCAACCGAGGAAUUGCUUGGCAUACUGGUGAGCUUGAAUCAUUUAGAGGCAAGUGGAACUGAUG
rnacentral:rRNA from 1 species